AAAGCAGUGAUGCAGAGCAAAUCCCCAAAAGCAGUCUUAGUUCGGAUUGUAGGCUGCAACUCGCCUACAUGAAGCUGGAAUCGCUAGUAAUCGCGGAUCAGAAUGCCGCGGUGAAUACGUUCCCGGGUCUUGUACACACCGCCCGUCACACCAUGGGAGUCGGAAAUGCCCGAAGUCUGUGACCCAACCUACGGGAGGGAGCAGCCGAAGGCAGGUCGGAUGACUGGGGUGAAGUCGUAACAAGGUACC
rnacentral:rRNA from 1 species